rnacentral:rRNA from 1 species
AUUGAACGCUGGCGGCAGGCCUAACACAUGCAAGUCGAGCGGUAGAGAGGAGCUUGCUUCUCUUGAGAGCGGCGGACGGGUGAGUAAUGCCUAGGAAUCUGCCUAGUGGUGGGGGAUAACGUUCGGAAACGGACGCUAAUACCGCAUACGUCCUACGGGAGAAAGCGGGGGACCUUCGGGCCUCGCGCCAUUAGAUGAGCCUAGGUCGGAUUAGCUAGUUGGUGAGGUAACGGCUCACCAAGGCGACGAUCCGUAACUGGUCUGAGAGGAUGAUCAGUCACACUGGAACUGAGACACGGUCCAGACUCCUACGGGAGGCAGCAGUGGGGAAUAUUGGACAAUGGGCGAAAGCCUGAUCCAGCCAUGCCGCGUGUGUGAAGAAGGUCUUCGGAUUGUAAAGCACUUUAAGUUGGGAGGAAGGGCAGUAACUUAAUACGUUGCUGUUUUGACGUUACCGACAGAAUAAGCACCGGCUAAUCUG